rnacentral:rRNA from 1 species
GACGAACGCUGGCGGCGUGCCUAACACAUGCAAGUCGAGCGAGGUCCAAGGAAGCUUGCUUCCUGACGACCUAGUGGCGAACGGGUGAGUAACACGUGAGAAACCUGCCUCGGAGUGGGGAAUAACUCGGGGAAACUCGAGCUAAUACCGCAUAUCUUCACAUGAUCGCAUGGUCGAGUGAAGAAAGAAUUUCGCUCUGAGAGGGUCUCGCGGCCUAUCAGCUUGUUGGUGGGGUAACGGCCCACCAAGGCAACGACGGGUAGCUGGUUUGAGAGAACGAUCAGCCACACUGGGACUGAGACACGGCCCAGACUCCUACGGGAGGCAGCAGUGGGGAAUCUUGCGCAAUGGGCGAAAGCCUGACGCAGCAACGCCGCGUGCGGGAUGACGGCCUUCGUGGUUGUAAACCGCUUUCAGCAGGGACGAAAAUGACGGUACCUGCAGAAGAAGCCCCGGCUAACUACGUGCCAGCAGCCGCAGUAAUAC